rnacentral:rRNA from 1 species
AUACGUAGGUGGCAAGCGUUGUCCGGAAUUAUUGGGCGUAAAGCGCGCGCAGGUGGUUCCUUAAGUCUGAUGUGAAAGCCCCCGGCUCAACCGGGGAGGGUCAUUGGAAACUGGGGAACUUGAGUGCAGAAGAGGAUAGUGGAAUUCCAAGUGUAGCGGUGAAAUGCGUAGAGAUUUGGAGGAACACCAGUGGCGAAGGCGACUGUCUGGUCUGUAACUGACACUGAGGCGCGAAAGCGUGGGGAGCAAACAGGAUUAGAUACCCUGGUAGUCCACGCCGUAAGCGAUGAGUGCUAAGUGUUGGGGGGUUUCCGCCCCUCAGUGCUGCAGCUAACGCAUUAAGCACUCCGCCUGGGGAGUACGGUCGCAAGACUGAAACUCAAAUGAAUUGACGGGG